rfam:Chlorobium tepidum TLS, complete genome.
AAACUUUCUGGACAACGGUUGGGCCAGAGGCUUUCAAGUGAUUUGUGCUUUUGAUUAUUUGGCAGCUUUUCUCUUUCUAU